AGAUUAGCAGGCGCGUCGCGUCGGGGCUUCCAGGCCAGCUCUGCUCUGGGGAAUUAGAACGAACUCUAGCGGCCGUUUGCAACUCGGCUGUGGGCGCGAGGGCAUCAACAGGUGGCCGUGUGCAGCGGAGAGGCCAGUGGCGAGGACCCGGACUGGGAUAUAGAAACUGAGACUUAAAGAGCGUAAGUACUGUACCUUGCUUGACAUCACACAUGCUAAGUAAUGGAGUUGGAAUUUAAGCUUAAUUUUACCUGCUUCCCAGAGAAUAGACUUUUAAAACACUGUCCUCAACCACCUUUGGACUUAAUUGGUCCCCUGAUGUUGGGCAUUGGGUAGUUUCAAUUUUAUUCCAAUGAACAACCUUGUGUCAGAUCUUUUGAAACAUCUGCGAUUACUUCCUUAGGAUAAAUUCCUAGGUACAUAUUUGCUUAGUUGAAAUAUACACACAUUUCAAGAAUAAAAACCUUUUGCAAAAAGUGAAAGCCUUAGGAGGUGCGGUAGUCUUCUAAGAUGGCUUUUUUCAAUCCUUUCCUUCCCUUUUUGAAAAAUACGUCACCAUUAAGAGGUGGAGUUUACUUCACCUCCCUUGGAAUCUGGACUAGUCCUGUGAUUGCUUUGGAUGCAGUGAAAGUGAUAUUCCGAGACAUCUAAAUCCAAGUCUUAAGAGACUGGCAGUUUCUGUUUCCUUCCUUUUAGGGUCCUGCUGCCAUGCUGUGAGAAGCCAAAGUUUCAUGGAGAGGCCACAUGGAGCGAAAACAAAGGUGAUAGGGACAAUAGCUCCACCUGAGAUCCUGGUUAACACACAGACUUUAGCCAUCUUGGAUGCUCCAGCCUAAUUGAUCUCCCACUUGACUCUAGUCUCACCUGACAUUAUGUAGAGGAAAACCAUCCAGCUCCACCUAGUCAACCCACAGAAUAAUGAGAUGAUCAUAAGACUGUAGUUGUUUAACAUUAUUAACUUUUGGGGUGGUUUAUUACACAGUGAUAAAUAAAUAAAAUGGGAGUUAU